CUCCGAAGUUUCCCUCAGGAUAGCUGGCGCUUGUCACGACGUAAACCUUCGCAGUUUUAUCCGGUAAAGCGAAUGAUUAGAGGUCUUGGGGCCGAAACGAUCUCAACCUAUUCUCAAACUUUAAAUGGGUAAGAAGCGCGGCUUGCUGGCUUGGAGCCGGGUGUGGAAUGCGAGUGCCUAGUGGGCCACAGAACUGGCGCCGCGGGAUGAACCGAACGCCGUGUUAAGGCACCCGAUGCCGACGCUCAUCAGACCCCACUAUAACGGCUUAAAGCAUAGAAUUUUUAGCAGGGCUAACCGUACAGCUAUCUUUGCUAUAAUAAGUUACUAAGAG